rnacentral:rRNA from 1 species
UGCGUAGGCGGCGCGACAAGUUGGGUGUGAAAUCCCUCGGCUCAACCGAGGAACUGCGCCCAAAACUGUCGUGCUCGAGGGAGAUAGAGGUAAGCGGAACUGAUGGUGGAGCGGUGAAAUGCGUUGAUAUCAUCAGGAACACCGGUGGCGAAAGCGGCUUACUGGGUCUCUUCUGACGCUGAGGCACGAAAGCUAGGGGAGGCAACG